rnacentral:lncRNA from 1 species
CAGAAUUUGUCAGUCUUAUGAAAACUUCUCAAAUAGGCCGCAGGAUACGAAAAAGAAGACCUGUACUAACAGCCGUAGUUGACCAAUUUCUUGAUAUGUUGUAGUGUUUGCCGUUAAUAUUUUUGAAAAUUUCUGUAAGAAAAUGACAAAGUGGAAUCUGUAAAUGGUAUCAGUCAGCUCAGUAAAUGGUAAAAUAAAGUCAGUGGGAUUUAUUCAAAAUGUCGUUUGAAAAUGCAGCAACCAAAGAUUUUCGUGACUGUUCUGAUCAAAUAUAAAGUGGUCAAAUCGUCGAGCACACUGGUCUUUAUCACAAAUCAAAAUUAAAUCAAAUUUGAAUAGAAUUAAAGUUUUUAAAAAAAUGAUAUUUUAAAAAAGUAAAAAAGGAUGUAUAUAUGAAGUAUUUUUUAAUAAUUGUAUAUAGUGUUGUAUAAUAGAGCUGGGGCUAGUUAGUUAUUAUUA